rnacentral:sRNA from 1 species
AUGUACCACUCGUACACUCCGGUUCCUGUGCGCCGCCCGCACCCACCUGACGACUGCUCCCGGUUGCGCUGUGCC